GAUGAACGCUGACAGAAUGCUUAACACAUGCAAGUCAACUGUGGCGGACGGGUGAGUAACGCGUAAAGAACUUGCCUCACAGAUAGGGACAACAUUUGGAAACGAAUGCUAAUACCUGCUACUGUGAGAGAGCUUUGCGUCCCAUUAGCUAGUUGGAGAGGUAACGGCUCACCAAGGCGAUGAUGGGUAGCCGGCCUGAGAGGGUGAUCGGCCACAAGGGGACUGAGACACGGCCGUUACUGCUACGGGAGGCAGCAGUGGAGAAUAGUGGGCAAUGGACCAGAGUCUGAUCCAGCAAUUCUGUGUGCACGAUGAAGUUUUCGGGAUGUAAAGUGCUUUCAGUUGGGAAGCAGUACCAACAGAAGAAGUGACGGCUAACUACGUGCCAGCCGCCGCGGUAAUUC
rnacentral:rRNA from 1 species